rnacentral:sRNA from 1 species
UGGACUGAUUCACUUGCAAUGACUGAAGCCCUCUAUUUAUCCACAGGACAAUUACUAUACGGACAAUAGCAAUGCACGCUUCCUCUAGGUUGCCUAACUCAUUCCUUGUAGGGCACCCCUUUUGGUAGGGAUAGUGCUGUCUCCAUGGCCUAGUCCAUUCUUCUCCGCU